UAUUACCAUUGCGCGUACUGCAACUUGUACCAUUACUCUGUAUCUUUUUUCAUUUUAAUAUUUCUUACAUUGUGUGGUGUAACGCGAUUGUAUAACCGUAGUAUGUCGAGUCAUUCAUUUGGUUUAUUUUGGCAUACAAAAUAAUUUUAUUUACAGUCUGACAAUAAUAUUAAUCGUUUAUCUAUAGUCCUUUAUGCUAAGUGGCGAUAGUAUAAUUCGAAUUACUUACUAUAUUAUGCGGUUUUUUCGGCUAUGUACACAACAAAACGGCACGAAUAAAUAUCAUUGGACAUGGACCAAGUUUUUCUUUCAGUGUGCAUGCUCACCGCUUCGCACAAACGAUUCGUUUCUUAGGGACAUUCGAACCUGUAGAAAAUUCAUCUUUAAAGAACAAUCGAUGGAGUCGAAAGCAUAAAUCGCUGAUCGAUUUACGUUAAACUUUGGCUAAGGUUAAGGCGUCAAGCUUGCGUCUUUUUGUGAAUUCUCAUCUUCGAUGCAGCCAUGUAUGAAGAAUUGUUAUAAGAAUUAUUCCCUUCUUAUCGUAAACUUUGGAUAG
rnacentral:misc_RNA from 1 species